rnacentral:rRNA from 1 species
UACGGAGGGGACUAGCGUUGUUCGGAAUUACUGGGCGUAAAGCGCACGUAGGCGGAUUUGUAAGUCAGGGGUGAAAUCCCGGGGCUCAACCUCGGAACUGCCUUUGAUACUGCAAAUCUCGAGUCCGGAAGAGGUGAGUGGAAUUCCUAGUGUAGAGGUGAAAUUCGUAGAUAUUAGGAAGAACACCAGUGGCGAAGGCGGACUCACUGGUCCGGUACUGACGCUGAGGUGCGAAAGCGUGGGGAGCAAACAGGG